rnacentral:rRNA from 1 species
GAACGCUGGCGGCGUGCCUAAUACAUGCAAGUCGAGCGAACAGAUAAGGAGCUUGCUCCUUUGACGUUAGCGGCGGACGGGUGAGUAACACGUGGGUAACCUACCUAUAAGACUGGGAUAACUUCGGGAAACCGGAGCUAAUACCGGAUAACAUUUGGAACCGCAUGGUUCUAAAGUGAAAGAUGGUUUUGCUAUCACUUAUAGAUGGACCCGCGCCGUAUUAGCUAGUUGGUAAGGUAACGGCUUACCAAGGCAACGAUACGUAGCCGACCUGAGAGGGUGAUCGGCCACACUGGAACUGAGACACGGUCCAGACUCCUACGGGAGGCAGCAGUAGGGAAUCUUCCGCAAUGGGCGAAAGCCUGACGGAGCAACGCCGCGUGAGUGAUGAAGGGUUUCGGCUCGUAAAACUCUGUUAUUAGGGAAGAACAAACGUGUAAGUAACUGUGCACGUCUUGACGGUACCUAAUCAGAAAGCCACGGCUAACUACGUG